rnacentral:rRNA from 1 species
GAUGAACGCUAGCGACAGGCUUAACACAUGCAAGUCGAGGGGCAGCAUAAAGGUAGCAAUACUUUGGUGGCGACCGGCGCACGGGUGAGUAACGCGUAUGCAACCUACCUACUACUGGGGAAUAACCCGGCGAAAGUCGGACUAAUACCGCAUAAAACAGGGGCACCGCAUGGUGAUAUUUGUUAAAGAUUUAUUGGUAGUAGAUGGGCAUGCGUUCCAUUAGCUAGUUGGCGGGGUAACGGCCCACCAAGGCAACGAUGGAUAGGGGUUCUGAGAGGAAGGUCCCCCACACUGGUACUGAGACACGGACCAGACUCCUACGGGAGGCAGCAGUGAGGAAUAUUGGUCAAUGGGCGAGAGCCUGAACCAGCCAAGUCGCGUGCAGGAAGACUGCCCUAUGGGUUGUAAACUGCUUUUAUAUGGGAAUAAUGAUCGCUACGUGUAGUGAGAGAGAAUGUACCAUAAGAAUAAGCAUCGGCUAACUCCGUGCCAGCCGCCGCCGAGUAACAC